rnacentral:lncRNA from 1 species
UAUAUUUUAUGUUCAAACUGUUGGGUUACAAGUGUGAGGUGAAGUCCCACAUCGGGUAGAAGUGGAAAGGUUGAACACCAUAUAAGUGAGGAGAAGACCCAUAAACCUGAGCCUUAAGGUUUUGGGUUAGAGUGUGGUGUCAGGCUUCCUUAUGUGGUGGCUCGUGGUCCACAGGUGUACCCCUCGAAUCUCCCCAACAAUUGGUAUCAGAGCCGAUGGUUCAAGUUAGUGACCGGCUUAGAUGAGUAUGCAAGUACCGCAGGUGGCCAGAAUGGCUAGCGGCACAGCGCGCCCCACAGGUGAAGCGGGGUAGCCAGAAUGGCUAGCGGGCAGGGCAAGUACCGCAGGUGGCCAUGGCUAUACUCGUGGAUGAUAAAGACUUCCGCUCGAGGGGGAGACUACCAUGUGGAAGAGACUCACACUUGAGGGGGAGAUGUGUUGGGUUACAAGUGUGAGGUGAAGUCCCACAUCGGGUAGAAGUGGAAAGGUUGAACACCAUAUAAGUGAGGAGAAGACCCAUAAACCUGAGCCUUAAGGUUUUGGGUUAGAGUGUGGUGUCAGGCUUCCUUAUGUGGUGGCUCGUGGUCCACAGGUGUACCCCUCGAAUCUCCCCAACAAUUGGUAUCAGAGCCGAUGGUUCAAGUUAGUGACCGGCUUAGAUGAGUAUGCAAGUACCGCAGGUGGCCAGAAUGGCUAGCGGCACAGCGCGCCCCACAGGUGAAGCGGGGUAGCCAGAAUGGCUAGCGGGCAGGGCAAGUACCGCAGGUGGCCAUGGCUAUACUCGUGGAUGAUAAAGACUUCCGCUCGAGGGGGAGACUACCAUGUGGAAGAGACUCACACUUGAGGGGGAGAUGUGUUGGGUUACAAGUGUGAGGUGAAGUCCCACAUCGGGUAGAAGUGGAAAGGUUGAACACCAUAUAAGUGAGGAGAAGACCCAUAAACCUGAGCCUUAAGGUUUUGGGUUAGAGUGUGGUGUCAGGCUUCCUUAUGUGGUGGCUCGUGGUCCACAGGUGUACCCCUCGAAUCUCCCCAACACAAACAACUUGAAAUUACACAGGUGAGGUGAACAGUUAUGUACUGAAGUUGGAACAAGGUAAUAUGCUAAUUCAAAAGCAAAUAUGACCAGACCCUGCUAAAUAUAAAGAAAGAGUUGUCUAAAUUAUAUCUUGCAAUUCAACAAUGGCUAAUAGAUUUCAUGCUUGUGAACGUUCAAUUUACCUGAAAGACAAGAGGCAGAAAGUAAAAGCUUCCGUGACAGGUUCAAAACUAAAGGAAGAAUAUUAAAUAGGUAGAACAAAUAUUAAAAAU